rnacentral:lncRNA from 1 species
ACAAGACUUCUAGGGAAUGGCACAUCUCUCCCAGCCCCAGACUUUCCUACCCAGCAACCCCUACAAAUGACGUCCUCAUUCUAUCCCGGCACUACCAAUUUCAAAAUAGCUUCCCCUUCACAAGCACUGCAAUGCAGCAACCAUUGACCUAACUAUGCUUCCUUCUCCAGGUCAUCUCAAGCAGACCCCUCACUCUGAAGCCCCCGGAUCCAAGCAGGAUGAGCUGCCAACUCAGCUUGCUCUGACUUGACUUGGCUCAUGAUCCGUGGAAGACAUCCCUACCUGACCCGUCGAUCAGCCCGAAACUUCAACAUCUUUUUGGCAGCUCCGUCCCCAGUUUGGCAGCCUCAGAGGACCCGCCGGCCACCCUGAUCCUACCAUGCCUCUGAGAAAGAUCCUUCAGAUCCUGUGGGCAUAAGGGUUAAAUGAAGCUCCCGAUUCAUCUGCUGUUAUUGCUGCCGCUGCUGAGAAGCUGAGAUUGAUUGAGCAGUUCUCCCUUCUCUUCGGUCAGCCUGCCCAGCCUUCUUCUGUGUGGACAGGAGCAUAAUGAAUGAAGGUCCUCUGCCCCUGUCCCUCCGACUUGCUCCCCUCAGACAGCACGGGGUUGCUUUCCCUCCCUGUGUGGCAGUCCUACCGAUGAGAAGCAAGUCGACCAGAUGGGCGUGGAUGCUGUGGAACCAGAGCUGGUGGCUAGGAUGGGGCUGCUCAGGCAAUAUUAAAGGAGAGCUUCCUCUCAAGGCUUGCAAGGAAGAGGGCAGCAAAUGGGGCUUGAGAGGGGGUCACUGUGUGUUUAUGGCUGAAAAUCUUCCCAGACACGAGAUGAUACAUUCCAGCUGGGGACUGUCAGAUCUGCUCAGAAGCAAGGAGGUUUGUAUCGAUGUUAAUUCCCCUGAAUUCUUCAGCGGCUAAAGAUGGUCAGCGCUCCCCCCUUUCCUAAUGUCCUUCAUGUCUUAGGAUCCUUGGACUGCAAGGGCCUUCCGAAGGUCAUCGCUGCCAUCCCCCUGCUUCUAGGCAAGCCUGUUCUCCAAUCAAUCCUCAUUAAGUUCCUUGGUUUUCUGUAAAGAGUUCUAGCAAAGGAGGCUCCAGACCCACUGCUAUCUUAUCCUGCCAAGAUGUUCUUUUUGAUAUCACGUUUCAGUUCCUCUGGCUUUCUAUAUUAUUCCAUUUUGUCUUCACAUGACAGAUUCCUUUUUUGACCAACGUGGUUCUUUUUAGCAGCACCAGGCAGUCUGUUGACAUCACAGUCUGUUGCUAUGGCAAUUCUGUGAUGUCACAACAGACACUGAAAGGAAGGGGCUAAUCUAAUUUUUUGGAUCGAGCAAGAACUUGAUUGGGGAAUAAUGUGAUCAGUGAAUGGAAAAGCAAAUGGACAACAUUAUUAUUUAACCCAUAAUGAGACAAGUUGGUAGGAUGUAACUGGGGUCAACCGCUGCUGAUAUUUAAACAGCUUAAUCUUAAAUCCAGAAGGUCAAUAUAUUCAGCUAUUUCGUGGGACUUUUGCAAAUGAUUUAUCCUGGUGACAGGAGGCCUCGGUUUUCAGAUCACAUCCUUUCCCUGUCCCUAAUCCAGUUUCUUGGGCCCUCUCCUGAUGCCGGCUUGAGGUUCCUGCCCAUACAUAACAGGUGCUCGAUAAAUAUUUGUUGAAUGAAUGAAUAAUAGAAACUCUCCAGCCCUGACUUAAUUUUUAACCACCUGCAUUUGGAGUUUGACAUUCUAUCACCGAGGGCUUCCCUAUCUUAGCUCUCUCUUAAAAUUAAUUACUUCCUCUCCAUGAGAGAAGCUUUGCUUCUGCCCCCUCGCCCCCUCACUCAGCUUCCCUGCCUAGCUCCCCCUUGAAUACAUAGCUUGGCUUUGAUCCACCUUCAGUAGGACGGGAAGAAAAUUAAGCUCAUCUGCACAGAAGGAGGAGGGGGUAGGGGCGCUUUGGGAAAAUGAGCUUUCUUCCUCUAGAAGGCAAAAAUAUCCCCUUUCACUUCAAGCUGAGCUCAGGGGCCUCCCACAGCCUUUGCUUAAGCUGCAAGUUAAAUUACUUCUCCUAUGCCCUGUAAAGAUAGCACAAGGGAGUAGGAACGAAGGAAGGCUCAGGGGCUUCCCCUGCUCAUCAAGAGCUCUGAACUCCUAGGAAUUAAGUCUGCACACAGAAUGUCUAGCAGCAGUUCUUUCCCUUUGCCAAUAAACUGCAGAGUAUGGCAAAUUUUCAUUUUAGUUAGACAUCAAGAAGAACUUACAAGAGGCAGAACAUUAAAAAGGGAAACAAGGACAGGUAAUCCGUUUUCUCCUUCUUCUCUCCUUCCUUUUGGGAUGUCAAAAGGCUUCCAUUUGUCAAGGACAAAUGAUUAUGAAUCCAUGAAUACAUACCCAAAUGGACCUUUCAAAUUCCACCCAAGAGAAGGGAAAAUCUCAAGUGGUAAAGGAGAUUGUGCGGUGGAGGUAGAAACAGCCCUAAACUCCAGAGCAGUCCAGUAGGUGGUCACUUAUCCACAAUGAGGGUGGCCCUGAUGGCAGUGCCAUCAGUGGAAACAAACAUGGCAGGACCAAACAUUCAGUCCAAGAUCCAACCUGAGUUAGGAAUAUGACUUUAUUUCUUGGGCCCUUAGUUUUCUCAUGUGUAAAUGAGGUACCUUCUAACUACAUGAAAUAAUAGUGCUCACUUCACCAGCACAGACACUAAUUCUAUGAAAUAAUAGCUGUAAACUUGCAAGAUAUAGACCAUUUUUUGCAGAAGAGAUAAUGGCUAUGAUCAUUCUACUUAAAAACAAAUUAAGAUAUAUGCCAGAUGAAGGAGCGAAAAAAUGAAAAAUACUUAGUCCCAGGCUUAAGAAGAUCGUGUAUGGGGCACAGGCUGGGAGUGCCAGGGGCAGGCACUCUGGAAGUCUCAAGAGCGAUAAAUUACAAAGAAAAGAAGCAGAUCCUCUCUAUUUUUCCAGGCCUUUGUCUCUGCACCUAUUUAAAGCUUUCCUGUAGUUCAAGAGACAUCCUCAACCCCUACAGUACCUCACAUAGAGAUAACUCUGCAUUGCUUCAUCUCCAAACAUCCCCCUGGAGAGUCAGCCUCCACGUGCAGUAUACCUGGCACUACACUGUCAAGAGUGGCAAAAUUAAUCCAAGUUUCACGAUCUUUUGCAGGCAUGUAUGUUUACACAUGCACACACACUCCCAGGCUGGAUGCCCAGAACCCCACUGUGAUCAAUAUUGAACGACUGGAGAAAUACUCCACUCCUUCCACCCACUGGGCCUCUCUUGAUUAUCUGCUGUACACCAAGCUGCUUCAUUUCCAUAGCUCCUGAGAAUCUGCUGACAAAGAAUUAGCCCUGGCCCAGCUUCCCCAUCCUGAGGACGCCUUGGCUUCCAGCAUUACAGCUCAUUAGGUGGAGAGAGGUUUGCAUGCAAGGCAAGUGGAAAGGGGGUCCCAUCCCUUCCACUUCCUUCUUUCUCCCAGCUAGCAAAUUCCAAGCCGAGACUGUCCAUGCUCCAGAGAGGAUUUCUGCUGCCACAGAGGAGGGGAAGGUGGGGAGAAGGUUGGCUCCUGCUCUGUGCCUCCCCAUCUGGAUCUCAUCAUUAUUUUCAAGGAGGCUUAUCUGCUUCAGCAUCCUGUCCCAAUUAAAAACCAACUCAGUUUAUGUUUCCAGCCAUCUUCAUGCACCUGAUUCCUGAAGCUCCCCCUGCCAUUUCCAGGAGAAAAUACACUUUCCUAGCCACUUCUCAUCAGAGGCCCUCUGUUUUCCUACCUAUUGCUGCCACAUAAAGAAGAGGUCAAAGAGGGUCAGGCCCUGGCAGCACUUCUAGGUAUUUGCAGGUGGGAAGGAACCCCUCCAAACAACACUGCCUUAGCCAGGCAUGGUAGCACAUGUCUGUAGUCCCAGCUACUCAGAGGCAGAGGCAGGAGGAUCACUUGAGCCCAGGAGGUCGAGACUGCAGUGAACUAUGAUCACACCACUGCACCCCAACCUGAGGCACAAGACCCUCGUCACUAAAAAACAACAGAGCAAGGCCCCCAUCUCUAAAAAAAACCAAAAACAAACAAACAAAAAAGGCCGGGGGCGGUGGCUCACACCUGUCACCCCAGCACUUUGGGAGGCAGAGGCG